rnacentral:rRNA from 1 species
GAUGAACGCUGGCGGCGUGCCUAAUACAUGCAAGUCGAGCGAACAGACGAGGAGCUUGCUCCUCUGACGUUAGCGGCGGACGGGUGAGUAACACGUGGAUAACCUACCUAUAAGACUGGGAUAACUUCGGGAAACCGGAGCUAAUACCGGAUAAUAUAUUGAACCGCAUGGUUCAAUAGUGAAAGACGGUUUUGCUGUCACUUAUAGAUGGAUCCGCGCCGCAUUAGCUAGUUGGUAAGGUAACGGCUUACCAAGGCAACGAUGCGUAGCCGACCUGAGAGGGUGAUCGGCCACACCGGAACUGGGACACGGGCCAGACUCCUACGGGAGGCAGCCGUUGGGAAUCUUCCGCCAUGGGCGAAAGCCUGACGGAGCAACGGCGCGUGAGUGAUGAAGGUCUUCGGAUCGUAAAACUCUGUUAUUAGGGAAGAACAAAUGUGUAAGUAACUAUGCACGUCUUGACGGUACCUAAUCAGAAAGCCACGGCUAACUACGUG